GAUGAAGAACGCAGCGAAAUGCGAUAAGUAGUGUGAAUUGCAGAAUUCAGUGAAUCAUCGAAUCUUUGAACGCACAUUGCGCCCCUUGGUAUUCCAUGGGGCAUGCCUGUUCGAGCGUCAUUUGUACCUUCAAGCUCUGCUUGGUGUUGGGUGUUUGUCUCGCCUCUGCGUGUAGACUCGCCUUAAAACAAUUGGCAGCCGGCGUAUUGAUUUCGGAGCGCAGUACAUCUCGCGCUUUGCACUCAUAACGACGACGUCCAAAAGUACAUUUAUACACUCUUGACCUCGGAUCAGGUAGGGAUACCCGCUGAACUUAAGCAUAUCAAUAAGCGGAGGA
rnacentral:misc_RNA from 1 species